UGUAUUAGAGCCUGUAAUUGAUGUAACUGUUGCCAUACUCCUGAGUCUUCCAACAGAGUUUUCAUAAUCACUAUUUUAAUAAUAAUUGAAAGUUUUUCAAUCGAUAAACUAUUACUCCUUCGAGCUGUUUGUUUGACUGCAGUUAUAUAACUUUAUUUGAUGAAAAAACACAAAUUUCUUUUCCAGAACAGUUAAAUUAGUUUCUGUAAUUGUAACAUAUGUCAGCAUCACAAUCGUAUUAAUGAUUACAGAAUUUAUAACAUGUACCGUGCUUGUUCUCCUACUUCAGUUUGACAAAGGGAUUUCCUUGAUGUGUCUGCAGUGUAACAACGCAGUACAACCUCGGCACUGUCACACAGUAACCUACUGCGCCGAGGACGAGGUGUGUUUUGUUGAAAGAAUGGAGUCUAUGUUUGGCGUCAGAUACAACAUGGGUUGUCUCCAAAACAGAGCAAGU